CUGGUUGCUUCGGCCAUCUUUAUGGAUAACUGCGAAAAAGGAUUGUCCAGAAGCCAACCCCUUCUGUCCUUGAGCAACUGUUCCAUGGUCGGGAAUGACAAAGAGAAGCCGCUCGAGACCGGUCUGGUUCGUCGUCCAUGCUGGUGGGAAGGGGAGCUGCUAGGAUUCGCGUGCGACUGGAGGCAAGAGAUGGUGGCCUCGCUGAGGGAGAUCGACCAGAAGAAAUAAGCGGGGCAGCUAGGCUUUGGGUGGUGGUAGAUUCAAACACCGAUGGCUACAACUGCAAGAAGCUGUGACUCUUUUUUUUGCACCAGAGGUCUUGGUGAACCAAUUCGAGGUGUCGUUGAGUUCUACAGGAUCUCCUCCACAGUGAUGUCCUAGCCAUCCAUAAGGUAUGUCAAAAUUUUCGUCCCUUUUGUGUGUUCUUGGGAUUGAAUAAUAUGAUGACUUUAUCACUAACUGCAAUCUUCCUAUUCGAGAGCGAUGCCGAGCAGGGAGCUGUAUUUUGACAAUGCGAAUUGUAGUGUUCUCUUCCAA